GUCAGCAGCUGCUUCCUGUCCUGUGGAAUCGGCAGACAGCACCGAUGCCAUUCACAGAAGUGGCAAGCAUCUCUGUGCCCACCUGCUGCACGUCCACGCCAGCACACGGAAAGAACUGGACCAUAAAAACAAAAGUGUUACCGCAGACCUCCGAGAUGAGUAGAUGAAAUUACAGUGUUAUUUUGAUUUUUUAAUUUGAAUCAAACUCAUAACUUAAAGAAAAGAAGCUUUGAGAAUAAGAGAGAACUUUAGCCUUCCAAACCAUGAAUUACUUUCUUCUUCUAUAACAGACUCCUUGUUUUAAUGAUCCACACACAUCCGUGUGGCUGGUCGCGAGGUAGUGAAGCUUGAUUUAAUUUCCCCAUGAUUCAGACUUGUCCAGACAUGUGUCCUCAAACCGUAUUUGAGGGCAACAAGGGUAAAUAGUCCCCAGACCAGAAGAUGUUCCCUCGGUCACCUCCCACUCACUCUGUCUGCUGACCUCCAAGGAAAUUCAGCCCUGCAGUCAACAUCUGUGGUCCAAUCAGCCAGGCUGGAAUAAAAGGAACCUAGUUGUCCAUGCCCUCUACCUCAAAUUGUUCAUAUUCACUGAGGACAGCAAAGCAGAGCAAUUGAAUGCACUGACACGGGGUCCCAAAAGACCAUAGUCUGAAACCAGGCUCUGCCAGGAGCUCGUUAUGUGACCUGCCUCUCAAGCCCUAGUCUCCUCACCUGUAAGAUGGAGAAGCUAUGACCAUCAUCACAGUGUGGUUGUGGGAAUUCAAGCAUCUAGUGAACCUGGCACAUGGACCCUUCUGAUUACACUGGACCCACCAGGAUAACCCAGGAUAAUCCCCCUAUCAAGGUCAGCUGUUCAGCCACUUUAACUCCACCUGCAACCUUCAUCCUCCGUCACCAUGUAAGGUAAUAUACUCACAGGUGGGGAUUAGGCUGUGGACAUCUUCGGGGAGACAUUACCUUGCCUGCCACAAUAUGUAAAGUACCUAUUUAGUUCUACAACUUUUCUGUCAUAGAGCUUUUCUUUUUCACUCAAAACAGUAAGCUCAAUUUUAAAGAGUGAUUUCAGUGCUAAUACAGCAAAUAAGUUUACCUCUUUGUGUUGAAUGCCUUCAUCAGUUCUGGAAUUUGGGAAACUUCUCCAACACCCCCAUUUCACAGAUGAGCAGCUGGGGUCCAGUGGCUCACACGGCAUUUAGUGACAAAUCCAAAAUUGGAUUCUGAUGUCCUGCUCCGAGUGAACUGGUGUCUCUUCCACCCCAUCCUACCUUCCUGAAGGCCUUAAGAAUUAUGCUGCAAAAGUGGUGACUCCCCCCUAAUUCCACAGAGUGGGCUGAUCUGCAGCAAGGCCUGGCAUGGCUGAUCAAAACAUGUACAUUUCAGGCAAAACCAAUAGAAAAGACCAGUACUUAAAAAAAUUUCCAGGGUAGAAAACGAGUUUGAUCAGAAUUCAGAAUAUUUAAUAAAAAUUCUGUCAUGUAUAGAAAAGUGCUUUGGAUUUCUCCCCUGUAUCUUCAAAGGCCUUCAUACAACGAAACCAUAUCCAUCAAGUUUUUUUUUUUUAACAUCUUUAUUGGAGUAUAAUUGCUUUACAAUGGUGUGUUAGUUUCUGCUGUAUAACAA